GUGGGGAAUUUUGGACAAUGGGCGCAAGCCUGAUCCAGCAAUGCCGCGUGCAGGAAGAAGGCCUUCGGGUUGUAAACUGCUUUUGUACGGAACGAAACGGUCCGGGUUAAUACCCUGGGCUAAUGACGGUACCGUAAGAAUAAGCACCGGCUAACUACGUGCCAGCAGCCGCGGUAAUACGUAGGGUGCAAGCGUUAAUCGGAAUUACUGGGCGUAAAGCGUGCGCAGGCGGUUUUGUAAGACAGGCGUGAAAUCCCCGGGCUCAACCUGGGAAUUGCGCUUGUGACUGCAAGGCUGGAGUGCGGCAGAGGGGGAUGGAAUUCCGCGUGUAGCAGUGAAAUGCGUAGAUAUGCGGAGGAACACCGAUGGCGAAGGCAAUCCCCUGGGCCUGCACUGACACUCAUGCACGAAAGCGUGGGGAGCAAACAGGAUUAGAAACCCCUGUAGUCC
rnacentral:rRNA from 1 species